AUUCCAGCUCCAAUAGCGUAUAUUAAAGUUGUUGCAGUUAAAACGCUCGUAGUCGGAUUUCGGGGCGGGCCGACCGGUCUGCCGAUGGGUAUGCACUGGCCGGCGCGUCCUUCCACCCGGAGACCGCGCCUACUCUUAACUGAGCGGGCGCGGGAGACGGGUCUUUUACUUUGAAAAAAUCAGAGUGUUUCAAGCAGGCAGUCGCUCUUGCAUGGAUUAGCAUGGGAUAAUGAAAUAGGACUCUGGUGCUAUUUUGUUGGUUUCGAACACCGGAGUAAUGAUUAACAGGGACAGUUGGGGGUAUUCGUAUUCAAUUGUCAGAGGUGAAAUUCUUGGAUUUAUUGAAGACGAACUACUGCGAAAGCAUUUACCAGGGAUGUUUUCAUCG
rnacentral:rRNA from 1 species